rnacentral:rRNA from 1 species
UACGAAGGGGGCUAGCGUUGCUCAGAAUCACUGGGCGUAAAGGGUGCGUAGGCGGGCCUUUAAGUCAGGGGUGAAAUCCUGGAGCUCAACUCCAGAACUGCCUUUGAUACUGAGGAUCUUGAGUUCGGGAGAGGUGAGUGGAACUGCGAGUGUAGAGGUGAAAUUCGUAGAUAUUCGCAAGAACACCAGUGGCGAAGGCGGCUCACUGGCCCGAUACUGACGCUGAGGCACGAAAGCGUGGGGAGCAAACAGG